rnacentral:rRNA from 1 species
CCCUUAGAUGUUCUGGGCUGCACGCGUGUUACAAUCGGGAGUACAACAAGAUUGCAAAUCCUAGUGGAUGAGUGGUUCUUCGAAAUUUUCUGAAGACUGGGAUAGUUGAUUGAAAUUAUUCAACUCGAACGAGGAAUUCCUUGUAAUUGUAAUUCAUUAUAUUGUAAUGAAUACGUCCCUGCCCUUUGUACACACUGCCCGUCGCUCCUACCGAUUGAACGAUCCGGUGAAUUAUUUGGAGUAGCUCUGGAAGUUGCAGAACUUCCUAUGUCACGAAAUUUUGUAAACCUCAUCGUUUAGAGGAAGGAAAAGUCGUAACA